GAGCUUGUGUCUAUGAGGGAUCGCUGCAUGCGGUAUGAGGGCAUUGUAGAGCGCUUUGCAGGACCCAGCAUGUUCAGCAACAGCAGCACACAUUGUUUCCCUGACAUACUGACCGUGGCUCUGACUGAUGAUACUCCUGCCACAUCUCCUUACAUGUGUGUCAUCUCACGCAACUCAAAUAUUGUCUGUAAAAUCCAAAUGUCUUCACAUUAUAAACAUCUGAGUAUAGCUUAGAGAAAAGAGAAAACUUAUCACCUUUGUUGGUAUUUCCCUGGUGUCACAUUCUGCAUUUUAACUACCCUGAAGACGAUCUCCUCUACUGGAGUCUGUAUUAUUGUGACUGAUCCAGUCUCACACGAGUUUUAUUCUCAACCUUUAAGUUAUUUAUUUGUGUUUCCACGCUUUUGUUUUUGUUCCUAAACACAAAUUUCCCAAUAUUAUUUUGUGUCCUUGAACACAACAUUUCAUCUGCCUGCUCUCAUGAGUGCUGAUGUGUCCAUGUAUACAACAAACAUAUAUUUUCCUUGUUGAGAGGUUGAAAGUGUGAUGAUCGAGCUAAUCGUUUUGCUUUUCACACCAAGUUUGAGUUAUGUACACCUCAUUUGUUACCAUUGUUUUUUUGUUUGUUUUUUUCAAAUUAAAAAUAUUAACAGUGACUUAGUUGGGUUUAGAAAAUGUAACGGUUUAAGUUAAAACGUAACCUUUGGCACAUCUUUUAAAACUUUGUCUUCUUGACUGCCAAGGUGACGCGUCUGACAAUUCGUGUCCUUGAACACAAUAAAAUAUAUUGUAUUGUCAUAACUGUUACUCAAACUGAGGGUAAACUGGGCUGUUUGAGUGGGUUCCUUGCUAUCCCUUAAAGUUGUUCUGUAUCACAUUAGAAACUUUGAAAUUCUAAAUACUAAAAAGCACAAAGGGAAAAACAACAGUUUUGUACUGUAAAAAAGCUUUCCUCCAAUCCCCCUGUAUUUACAAAGAUCGGCAUGUUACUUCAAGGCAUUUUGAAUAUCUACACCAGUUUACGACAGGUACGUUUUGAACUUUCCUUAAGAAAAAAUGUAAAUCAUCACCCGGACAAGCGUUCUUCAUAAACAAACACAGCUAGUAUCAAAUGUCUGCUUUUUUGGCAUCUGUUAGGUAAUUUUCUG
rnacentral:lncRNA from 1 species